rnacentral:rRNA from 1 species
UACAGAGGUCUCAAGCGUUGUUCGGAAUUACUGGGCGUAAAGGGCUCGUAGGCGGCCAACUAAGUCAUACGUGAAAUCCCUCGGCUUAACCGGGGAACUGCGUCUGAUACUGGAUGGCUUGAGUUCGGGAGAGGGAUGCGGAAUUCCAGGUGUAGCGGUGAAAUGCGUAGAUAUCGGGAGGAACACCGGUGGCGAAGGCGGAUCUCUGGGCCUGUUCUGACGCUGAGGCGCGAAAGCUAGGGGAGCGAACAGG